CGGAUGAACAUUAAGAACAAGUCACAAGUCAGUCGUAAUAAUAGCAUCUAAUAACAUGAAAGGCUUGUAUUGUUGUGUGUAAAGAAAAAGAAGGAUUCAUGGCAGCUCAGAUCUAAAACACUUGAUAUUAGAAGUUGUUGGUGAUUUUAGUAAGAGAAAGGUAUUAUACAGCAAAACCAACCGCAUCAGAAAGUUUUACCCAUCAAGCUAACAUAACAUACAAAGACAAUCAUAAACAAGGGAGUAAAGAAAUGAAACGAACUCAUGAACGGUGCGGAGUCUGAGAACAUCUCAAUUCAAGAGAUGGUCAGAU